rnacentral:rRNA from 1 species
CCGCGGGAUUAGAGUUUGAUCCUGGCUCAGAUUGAACGCUGGCGGCGUGCCUAACACAUGCAAGUCGAGCGGUAACAGGUGUAGCAAUACAUGCUGACGAGCGGCGAACGGGUGAGUAAUGCUUUGGAAUCUUCCCAGUAGUGGGGAAUAACCAGUCGAAAGAUUGGCUAAUACCGCAUACGUCUGUAAAGGGAAAGCGGGGGCUCGUAAGACCUCGCGCUAUUGGAUGAGCCAAAGUCGGAUUAGCUAGUUGGUGGGGUAACGGCCUACCAAGGCGACAAUCCGUAGCUGGUCUGAGAGGACGACCAGCCACACCGGAACUGAGACACGGUCCGGACUCCUACGGGAGGCAGCAGUGGGGAAUAUUGGACAAUGGGGGAAACCCUGAUCCAGCGACGCCGCGUGUGUGAAGAAGGCCUGCGGGUUGUAAAGCACUUUUAGUGGGGACAAAAAGCUACGGAUUAAUACUCUGUGGUCUUGAUUUAACCCAAAGAAAAAGCACCGGCUAACUCUGUGCCAGCAGCCGCGGUAAUACAGAGGGUGCGAGCGUUAAUCGGAAUUACUGGGCGUAAAGCGCGCGUAGACGGUUUUGUAAGUCAGAUGUGAAAUCCCUGGGCUCAACCUGGGAACUGCAUUUGAAACUGCAUGGCUAGAGUAUCGAAGAGGGAAGUGGAAUUUCCGGUGUAGCGGUGAAAUGCGUAGAUAUCGGAAGGAACACCAGUGGCGAAAGCGACUUCCUGGUCGAAUACUGACGUUCAUGUG